rnacentral:rRNA from 1 species
AACGAACGCUGGCGGCAGGCCUAACACAUGCAAGUCGAGCGCGCCCUUCGGGGUGAGCGGCGGACGGGUGAGUAACGCGUGGGAACGUGCCCUUCUCUGCGGAAUAGCCUCGGGAAACUGAGAGUAAUACCGCAUACGCCCUUUGGGGGAAAGAUUUAUCGGAGCAGGAUCGGCCCGCGUUGGAUUAGGUAGUUGGUGGGGUAAUGGCCCACCAAGCCGACGAUCCAUAGCUGGUUUGAGAGGAUGAUCAGCCACACUGGGACUGAGACACGGCCCAGACUCCUACGGGAGGCAGCAGUGGGGAAUCUUAGACAAUGGGGGCAAUCCUGAUCUAGCCAUGCCGCGUGAGUGAUGAAGGCCUGAGGGUUGUAAAGCUCUUUCAGCUGGGAAGAUAAUGACGGUACCAGCAGAAGAAGCCCCGGCUAACUCCGUG